CCUACGGGUGGCAGCAGUGGGGAAUAUUGGUCAAUGGGCGCGAGCCUGACCCAGCCAAGUAGCGUGAAGGAUGACUGCCCUACGGUUUGUAAACUUCUUUUAUAAAGGAAUAAAGUGAGACACGUGUGCCUUUUUGUAUGUACUUUAUUAAUAAUGAUCGGCUAACUCCGUGCCAUCAGCCGCGGUGAUACGGAGGAUCCGAGCGUUAUCCGGAUUUAUUGGGUUUAAAGGGAGCGUAGAUGGGUUGGUAAGUCAGUUGUGAAAGUCUGCGGCUCAACCGUAAAAUUGCAAUUGAUACUGGCAGUCUUGAGUACAGUUGAGGUAGGCGGAAUUCGUGGUGUAGCGGUGAAAUGCUUAGAUAUCACGAAGAACCCCGAUUGCGAAGGCAGCUUACUAAACUGCCACUGACAGUGAUGCUCGAAAGUGUGGGGAUCAAACAGGAUUAGAUACCCCAGUAGUC
rnacentral:rRNA from 1 species